UACGUAGGGUGCAAGCGUUGUCCGGAAUUAUUGGGCGUAAAGAGCUCGUAGGCGGUUUGUCGCGUCUGCUGUGAAAACUCAGGGCUUAACCCUGAGCCUGCAGUGGGUACGGGCAGACUAGAGUGUGGUAGGGGAGACUGGAAUUCCUGGUGUAGCGGUGAAAUGCGCAGAUAUCAGGAGGAACACCGGUGGCGAAGGCGGGUCUCUGGGCCGUAACUGACGCUGAGGAGCGAAAGCGUGGGGAGCGAACAGG
rnacentral:rRNA from 1 species